rnacentral:rRNA from 1 species
GUGGGGAAUUUUGGACAAUGGGGGCAACCCUGAUCCAGCCAUCCCGCGUGUGCGACGAAGGCCUUCGGGUUGUAAAGCACUUUUGGCAGGAAAGAAAUUGCCUGAGUUAAUACCCUGGGUAGAUGACGGUACCUGCAGAAUAAGCACCGGCUAACUACGUGCCAGCAGCCGCGGUAAUACGUAGGGUGCAAGCGUUAAUCGGAAUUACUGGGCGUAAAGCGUGCGCAGGCGGUUCGGAAAGAAAGAUGUGAAAUCCCAGGGCUUAACCUUGGAACUGCAUUUUUAACUACCGGGCUAGAGUGCGUCAGAGGGGGGUGGAAUUCCGCGUGUAGCAGUGAAAUGCGUAGAUAUGCGGAGGAACACCGAUGGCGAAGGCAGCCCCCUGGGAUGACACUGACGCUCAUGCACGAAAGCGUGGGGAGCAAACAGGAUUAGAUACCCGUGUAGUCC